ACUCCUACGGGAGGCAGCAGUGGGGAAUAUUGCGCAAUGGGCGAAAGCCUGACGCAGCGACGCCGCGUGGGGGAUGAAGGCCUUCGGGUUGUAAACCCCUUUCAGCAGGGACGAAGCGAAAGUGACGGUACCUGCAGAAGAAGCGCCGGCUAACUACGUGCCAGCAGCCGCGGUAACACGUAGGGCGCAAGCGUUGUCCGGAAUUAUUGGGCGUAAAGAGCUCGUAGGCGGUCUGUUGCGUCCGCUGUGAAAACUCGGGGCUUAACCCCGAGCCUGCAGUGGAUACGGGCAGACUAGAGGUAGGUAGGGGAGAAUGGAAUUCCCGGUGUAGCGGUGAAAUGCGCAGAUAUCGGGAGGAACACCGGUGGCGAAGGCGGUUCUCUGGGCCUUACCUGACGCUGAGGAGCGAAAGCGUGGGGAGCGAACAGGAUUAGAUACCCUGGUAGUCCACGCCGUAAACGUUGGGCGCUAGGUGUGGGAUCCUUCCACGGAUUCCGUGCCGCAGCUAACGCAUUAAGCGCCCCGCCUGGGGAGUACGGCCGCAAGGCUAAAACUCAAAGGAAUUGACGGGGGCCCGCACAAGCGGCGGAGCAUGUUGCUUAAUUCGACGCAACGCGAAGAACCUUACCAAGGUUUGACAUGCAGGGAAAAGCCGUAGAGAUAUGGUGUCCGUAAGGGUCCUGCACAGGUGGUGCAUGGCUGUCGUCAGCUCGUGCCGUGAGAUGUUGGGUUAAGUCCCGCAACGAGCGCAACCCUCGUCCUAUGUUGCCAGCGGAUAAUGCCGGGGACUCAUAGGAGACUGCCGGGGUCAACUCGGA
rnacentral:rRNA from 1 species